UGACAACCCACUAGAGCCCAAGACCAAGGAAAACUGCUUUGAGAAGGCAGGCCCAUGCCCCUGGGAGUAGGCUCACCAGUCAUAGUCCUGGCCAUGAACACAGAAACACCGCCAUCUGCCUGUGGACCCUGCUGCAGCCCUGCUUACAUGUGGUUCCAGAUGCAGCCUCAAAAGUCAUUCCCAAAAGUCAUUCAGGAGCAGCCCAGUUAAGAACCAUUGCUGAGGAACUACUGCAGUCCCUUGAAGCCAGAAGCUUCACUUCUAAUGAUGAAUGUCCUUCAGAAUAUUAUCAUUGCAGACUGAAGUGCAAUGCUGAUGAACAUGCAAUUAGAUACUGUGCUGACUUCAGCAUCUGCUGCAAACUGAAGAUCAUUCAAAUUGAUGGACAAAAGAAGUGGUGAAAAUUCUAACUCCAUCUUCUUCAGACUCCAGGAGAAAAAACAUGUCUUAAACUCUCUUAUCUAUGAAUAAUUAACAUGAUAGAUGAAAAUUAUUAUAAUUGCAUGUUUAGAUGGUCAGGUGAAAAUGAAUAUAAAUUUUAUAAAUGCUUACACUCUAUUUUCAUUUGUGCAUUUUAACAUUUACUCCCUUAAUUUACAUCCACAGCCACAUUGUUGUUUCACCCAUAGUACUAUAUCCGAUGCGGGGAGUAAGAGCCAGCCCCUUUUGCCCCCCUGGCUCUUAGAACCCCUAUCGCAGGGGGGUGAGGCACCACCAGCGAUGCUGGGAGUAAGAGCCAGCCCUUCUUGCCCCUCUGACUCUUAGGACCCCCAUUGCAGGGGGAUGAGGAGCCCCCCACGAUGCAGGGAGUAAGAGCCAGCCCCUCUUGCCCCCCUGGUUUUUAGGAUCCGCGGUGGAUACACAGCCUGUUUAUCAAAUUGUGAGUAAUAUCAUCUCCCGCUCUGGAGAUUAUGAACUGUUUCACAAACCGGUGUACACCCUGGGUAUACAGAGAUUGUACACCCGUCUGUAUUGGGUGUCAUAUCAUCUUCUUCCUCCCUGAAUAUUAAGAACAGUAUCAAAGGGGUGUUUCUACUCCCUGGGAUAUCGCGUGUCAUAUCCUCCUCUCCCAAGUUGCAAUUAGAAACAAUAUCAGUGGGGGUGUGUCCACCUUCUGUGAUAUUGAAAGUAAUAUCACAUUCUUCCCUCCAGGAUCAUGGGAACAAUAUCCUUGGUGGUGUCCACUUUCUGCCAUAUAUAUAGUCCUAUCAGCCCCUCCGCUUUGGAAUGUUAUUAAGGACCAUCUCACACGGGGGUGUACACUUCCUGCGAUGUUGGGAGUAAUAGCAUUUUCUUCUUCUGUGAAUUAGGAGCAAAAUCACCGG
rnacentral:lncRNA from 1 species